rnacentral:miRNA from 5 species
AUUACUUUCAAUGGGACUAAGU